rnacentral:tRNA from 1 species
GGUUGAAUGGUUAGUGGUUAGAGGUUAGGUGUUUUGACCGGAGGGUCCCGGGAUCGAAUCCCGCUAGAGGCA